CAGCAGCCACGGUAAUACGGGGGGGCAAGUGUUAUUCGGAAUGACUGGGCGUAAAGGGCACGUAGGCGGUGAAAAGGGUGGAAAGUGAAAGUCGCCAAAACACUGGCGGGGUGCUUUCUUGACCAUUUCACUUGAGUGAGAUAGGGGAGAGUGGAAUUUCGUGUGGAGGGAUCAAAUCCUAAGAUAUACGAAGGAACGCCAACCGCGAAGGCAGCUCCCUGGGUCCCCACUGACGCUGGGGUGCGAAAGCAUGGGGAGCAAACAGGAUCAGAUACCCCAGUAGUCCCUGUCUCUUAUACAC
rnacentral:rRNA from 1 species